GCAUUGAAAAUUAGAUCAAAUCCAUUCCCAACAUUCAUUUCUCAAUCACUGUUGUGGCUCACUCCUUAUGAAUUAAAACUAGAUCUAAACACAUUAACAUCUUAAACAUUAAAGCAUAUGGGAUAAAGGCAACAGUGAUUUAGUCCAAUGCUUUUGGACUUUAUUCAUAAACAUUAAAGCAUAUGGGAUAAUGGGGUAUUAAAAAAACAAACAGAUCCUGAAAGGCUCCAUGUCCCACGUUUUCAACCAAGAGACCCCUCCCCUGUUCCCUUCUUCGACAGAGAACGCCAAAGGGACGGACACAGAACCAAAAAAAAAUUAAAAGCGAGGACACAUACUAGUAUAACUAACAUGCUUUCAACAAAAAAAAAACAAAUACAACACAUAGCAAGAAAAGUAUACGAAGAAUCAAAUGGUGAAGAAGGAGCAACUGGACCUUCAUUAAUAUAAAAGCAUCUUUGGCAUGACAGAGGGAACUCAUAGAAGUUUGAACAGCAGCUAACGAACAAGAUAGACUCACGAUCGGAAACCUCGUCGGCAAAUUCGACUUGACUGGACCUCGUUUAAAACCCAACUACUGGAACACCUUGGAGUGUUUUUGGAUGGUGUUUUGGGGGUAAAAGAGCUGAGUUUUUGAGUUCUUACAUAACUGACAUGAUGGAGGAAAAAUGGUGAUUGAGGACGAGGAAGAAGAGAAGAAGAAGAUGUUGAAGGGGUGGGGUUUCGCCGGUGUCAGCGGCGCUAGCUUGUGUUAUAUGGGGUGCUGGUCAUUUUUGAUUGUAUUUUGUGUAUCUUCAGUUGAAGAAGAUGAAGUCGCCCGGGGGGUCUUUUGAUUUUUAGGAGUCCGCCAUUGCAGCUUUUUUCAGUCCUUUAGAGUCAGCUUUUUGUCUUCAUUUUUUGUGUAUUUGCUGAUGAAAACUGCGGAUUGGGUUAAAUAGAAUCUAGGUCAAUUUAGGGAUUAGGUACUAUUAUAUAGGGGUAGGGAUUAGGUUAGGGGUAUGGGCUUGGGAAUUAUGGGCUAGGUCCAAAAUUAGGCCUAAAAAUGGGUUGCUCGAGCCCAAGUUUUAUUCUUUCC
rnacentral:lncRNA from 1 species